GGAACCUUUUCUUAACAGAAAUUUGGAACCAAAUCCGGAAGGGGGAAACCUGAAGCUUCAAUCUCCUGUCAAAGCCGAUUUGUCCAGCGAAGGUGAUUUCUUGCGCGCGAAACUUGAUUCCAAGGGAAAGGAUAUAGUUGAGACUUAAGCGCUUUGAGGUUGAGCGGCGACGAGCGGUUGGCGGUGUUGAGCAAAUUAAAUGAAGAAUUAAAUAUUGAUAUAUUUUGACUACGAGUGUCGUUGUGUCUUCAUACAUGACGUCACUUUUCUCUUGGAUGCUUCCGCUGAAACCCGUUUUACUUAUUGUUGAAUUCUCGAAACUAUUUUGAUUUCGUUUAAAAUCUAAAGACAUGAUAUGUUUUGGAAUACGUUGAACCCUCAUUAUUUUGAAAUAAAUGGUGAUAAUUGUUUCCUCUA